UACGUAGGGUGCGAGCGUUGUCCGGAAUUAUUGGGCGUAAAGAGCUCGUAGGCGGUUUCGUAAGUCGGAUGUGAAAACUCCAGCUCAACUUGGAGACGCCAUUCGAUACUGCGAUGACUUGAGUCCGGUAGGGGAGUGUGGAAUUCCUGGUGUAGCGGUGAAAUGCGCAGAUAUCAGGAGGAACACCGGCGGCGAAGGCGGCACUCUGGGCCGGUACUGACGCUGAGGAGCGAAAGCGUGGGUAGCAAGCAGG
rnacentral:rRNA from 1 species